rnacentral:rRNA from 1 species
UACGUAGGUGGCAAGCGUUGUCCGGAUUUACUGGGCGUAAAGGGAGCGUAGGCGGACUUUUAAGUGGGAUGUGAAAUACUCGGGCUCAACCCGAGUGCUGCAUUCCAAACUGGAAGUCUAGAGUGCAGGAGGGGAAAGUGGAAUUCCUAGUGUAGCGGUGAAAUGCGUAGAUGUUAGGAAGAACACCGGUGGCGAAGGCGACUUUCUGGACUGUAACUGACGCUGAGGCUCGAAAGCGUGGGGAGCGAACAGG